GCGCCCGUAGCUCAACCUGGUGGAGCGCUUCCCUGUCACGGAAGAGGUUACCGGUUCAAAUCCGGCCGGGCGCG
rnacentral:tRNA from 2 species